rnacentral:rRNA from 1 species
ACGGCUCAGUAACACGUAGAUAAUCUGCCCUUAAGUUAGGAAUACCCUCGGGAAACUGAGAUCAAAACCUGAUAGGAGAUGGUUUCUGGAAUGAAUCAUCUCUCAAGUUAAGGAUGAGUCUGCGGCUGAUUAGGCAGUUGGCGGGGUAAUGGCCCACCAAACCUUUGAUCAGUAAGGGCCCUUAGCGGGGAAACCCUGAGAACGAGUCUGAGACACAACUCGUAGCCCUACGGGGUGCAGCAGUUAGGGAUUUUCUGCAAUGCGCGUGAGCGUGACAGAGCGGGCCAGAGUGUUUUUCCUUUAUGGAAAAACUUUUGCCAGCUGUAAAAAGGCUGGCGAAUAAGGACUGGGCAAGACCGGUGCCAGCCGCCGCGGUAAUCCCGGAAGUCCGAGUCGCAGCCACAAUUAUUGGGUCUAAAACAUCCGUAGCUUGCCUUGUAAGUCUGUUGUGAAAUUCUGUCUCUUAAGGGCAGAGAUUGCAAUGGAUACUGCUUGGCUAGAGACUGGGGGGCGUAAGGAGUACAUUCAAGGUAGUGGUAAAAUACGUUAAUCUUGGAUGGACUAACGAUUAGCGAAGGCACCUUACGAUAACAGUUCUGACAGUGAGGGAUGAAGGCUAGGGGCGCAAAUUGGAUUAGAUACCCAAGUAGUCCCAGCUGUAAACGAUGCAGGCUAGGUGUUUGGACGGCCACGUGCCGUUCUAGUGCCGCAGGGAAGCUGUUAAGCCUGCCGCCUGGGGAGUACGAUCGCAAGAUUGAAACUUAAAGGAAUUGGCGGGGGAGCAC